CGGGUAUAGCUCAGUGGUAGAGCGCGACCUUGCCAAGGUCGAUGUCGCGCGUUCGAAUCGCGUUACC
rnacentral:tRNA from 1 species